rnacentral:lncRNA from 1 species
AAUUAUAUGAGUUAUCUGGAAAAAGAGAAGAAAUACUGGCAAAGCUUGAAUCUGUUCAGGAAGAAUUAUAUGAAACUUCAGCUUCUGAAGCUAUAUAUCCUGGCAUUUUCAGUGAAAAGGAAUUAUAUGACCUAUUAAUGAAGAAGAAAGAAUUGCAAGAAAAGUUGCAGUCCAAUGAGAAGGAAAUUGUGGAAGCUCAGAUUCUUGCAUCCAUCCAUCCAGG